rnacentral:tRNA from 1 species
UGGCUCAGUGGAUAGAGCGUCAGCCUGCAGUCUGAAGGGUCCCAGGUUCGAGUCCUGG